rnacentral:rRNA from 1 species
UCCGUAGGUGAACCUGCGGAGGGAUCAUUACCGAGUUUACAACUCCCAAACCCAAUGUGAACCAUACCAAACUGUUGCCUCGGCGGGGUCACGCCCCGGGUGCGUCGCAGCCCCGGAACCAGGCGCCCGCCGGAGGGACCAACCAAACUCUUUUCUGUAGUCCCCUCGCGGACGUUAUUUCUUACAGCUCUGAGCAAAAAUUCAAAAUGAAUCAAAACUUUCAACAACGGAUCUCUUGGUUCUGGCAUCGAUGAAGAACGCAGCGAAAUGCGAUAAAUAAUGUGAAUUGCAGAAUUCAGUGAAUCAUCGAAUCUUUGAACGCACAUUGCGCCCGCCAGUAUUCUGGCGGGCAUGCCUGUCCGAGCGUCAUUUCAACCCUCGAACCCCUCCGGGGGGUCGGCGUUGGGGACCUCGGGAGCCCCUAAGACGGGAUCCCGGCCCCGAAAUACAGUGGCGGUCUCGCCGCAGCCUCUCCUGCGCAGUAGUUUGCACAACUCGCACCGGGAGCGCGGCGCGUCCACGUCCGUAAAACACCCAACUUCUGAAAUGUUGACCCCGGAUCAGGUAGGAAUACCCGCUGAACUUAAGCAUAUCAAUAAGCGGAGGA